GAGUUUGAUCGUGGCUCAGGAUGAACGCUGGCGGCGUGCCUAAUACAUGCAAGUCGAGCGAACAGACGGGGAGCUUGCUCCCCUGACGUUAGCGGCGGACGGGUGAGUAACACGUGGGUAACCUACCUAUAAGACUGGAAUAACUCCGGGAAACCGGGGCUAAUGCCGGAUAACAUGUUGGACCGCAUGGUCCUACAGUGAAAGACGGUCUUGCUGUCACUUAUAGGUGGACCCGCGCCGUAUUAGCUAGUUGGUAAGGUAACGGCUUACCAAGGCAACGAUACGUAGCCGACCUGAGAGGGUGAUCGGCCACACUGGAACUGAGACACGGUCCAGACUCCUACGGGAGGCAGCAGUAGGGAAUCUUCCGCAAUGGGCGAAAGCCUGACGGAGCAACGCCGCGUGAGUGAUGAAGGCC
rnacentral:rRNA from 1 species